rnacentral:tRNA from 3 species
GCGGGCGUAGUUUACCGGUAAAACGCUUCCUUGCCAAGGAAGAGACAGUGGGUCCAAUUCCCAUCGCCCGCUCCG